rnacentral:rRNA from 1 species
GACGAACGCUGGCGGCGUGCCUAAUACAUGCAAGUAGAACGAGUUGCGAACGGGUGAGUAACGCGUGGUAACCUGCCUCAUAGCGGGGGAUAACUAUUGGAAACGAUAGCUAAUACCGCAUACUGUGGGAUGGACAUGCGGUGUAUUAGCUAGUGGGUGGGGUAACGCCCCACCAAGGCAACGAUCCCUAGCAGGUCUGAGAGGAUGCCAAGCCACUCUGGAACUUAGACACGGUCCGGACUCCCACGGGUGGCAGCAGUGGGGAAUAUUGAACAGUGGACGCAAGCCUGAUGCAGCCAUGCCGCGUGUAUGAAGAAGUCCUUCGAGUUGUAAAGUACGUUCAGCGGGGAGGCGUUACCCGCAGAAGAAGCACCGGCUAACUCCGUGCCAGCAGCCGCGGUAAUUC